UAGGUUUUAAGUUGAUACCUAUUUUGGACACUUUUGACUUGGUUGAGGGAUAAUUGCCUGCUGCUUGCAUAUAGGAAUCCCGGUAUGCCUCAACGGUAGUUUUGUCUUAUUUUGUUAAAAUCCACGUGUCUCCUUGUGAUUAUUUUUGGCUCUACAAAUGCCCCCACACCUGUUGGGCUACUUGUAGGAAAAGGCAACAGGUGUAGAGAUUUUCUUGCUUUAGGAAACUUAAGACUGCUUCCUAUUUUGAUGUUGAUUCUCUCUUUAAAUGGAAAUUAGAUUCUUCUAGGAAAGGGAAAUAAAAUUCUCUCAAAGCCUAUUUAAGUCCACCUUAAGUGGGUUAUUAAAUCAACUUUGGAGAGCGAUUUAUUCUACCCAACAAGAGAGAGAAAGUUAGAGGAUAUGUGUUCCCCCUCCUCUAGCAAUCUUCUACAUCUUGCCCGUGCAAAGGAUCGUCUUUUGUUGAUUUCUUCGUCUUCUCUGUGCCACACCGAUGUAAGAAAAAUUUAAUUUUUCUUGCCUUCUUCUUGGAUAAUGCUAUUGCAAGGCAACCGUCGGGGUGGUGCGGCACGUCGGCUGGCAGGGGCCAGGAGUUGGCUCGGCAUGGGCCGAGGAGAUGUCAUGGUAGGGACUACUACUUGGGCAGCUUGGCUUGGGUUGAGCCAAGGGCAGCUUGUGCCGCUGGGGUCGCAGAUUGUGGCGUUGGGGCGCAGUGCUAGGCGAGUCGUAUGGCUCAUGUCCUUUGGGCUCUUGGACCUGACUCGGACCAGGCUGGCGAUUGAAAGAAAUGAGGAGAUUGUGGGUCUCAUGGGCUACUGGAAUGUUGGGUUGAACUCCCCUGCUGGGUACCACGAAUGGCGUUGGCUACUUUAACUCUCUUCGUCAGGAGAAACGUGGGCUGCUCCCAAAAUAAGAGGUGAAUAGGAUCAAGGCGGACGCAUUGGUUCGUCCAAUCACCGUUGUGGAUCCUGCUGCAAGUGAAGGUGGGAAAAGGGAUCUUCCCUGCCUACUCAAGAGAUGCCGGCUGAGCAAAAACCAAAGACUUCUUUCGCUACUUAUGCAAAGGAUGAAAAGUUGAUUGCUGCUUAUAAUCAAGUGAUCCACUUCUAGAGAAUCAUUGAUAAGUUUGAACCCCAAGUGUUGGAACUUCAAAGUGUACUAAAGAUCAACGAAAGUUUGAAAAAAGAAGUGGAUGAGCUGCAGCACGUCCAUGUUGGUAUUGGUGAAGUAGUUGGAGAAGUUGGUGCCCAGGCUAGAGUAGUCGGGGGUGAUGCUGCUGCUAAGAGCUUCCCGGCUGCUGAAGGUAUGGCGACCGAAUGGUCGUGGGAUGUCCAGGCUGCUAAAGUGUAGUCAUUUAGGUAGCCUUUAAGAUUUUCUUUGUUUUUCCUUGUAGCUCUUGUUUUGCUUGAACUUAUUCGGCCUUUGCUAGUUGUUUAUAAACAUGUUUUCCUUAGCUUUUCUUCAUUUUUGCUUCUUUUGUUCAUGCCCUAACCUUUAGACUUGAUAGACCAGUGGCAAGCAUGCUACUUUUUUAUAAGCAGACAAGCUCGCGUAUCAUAUGCAGCCGUAGGUGUUAGUGUAGAACUUUGCAAAGUUGUUAGCCAUUAGGUUGGCAGCCGGAUGCCUUAUUUACAGAAGCAGACAAGUCCGCGUAACCAUUAGGAUGUUAACCUUGACUUUCUCCAAUUCUGUAGGUUGCGUAGCAAGUACCACAACACUUUAGGACUUGGUGUAGGUUGUUCCACACUUGGCAGAGGUGAAGCUUAUCGACCACGUAGCAUGUUGGCAGUGGAUAAAACUUCGUAUAUACGUGCUAACUUGUUUAACCUUUCAUAAGAAUGUGCGGUUGUAUAAGUCUAGUGCGGCUUUACUGCUCGAGGGGCAAGCCGUAGGCAGUCUUCCGGAAUCCGUAGGCUACCUUAGUGCACUCGGUAACAGCUUUAGGAUUCCAGGGCAGCCGUCCAUCAGAUGUACUGCGUAAUGUGCCCUCUCCGUCUCUAGGGCCCUGUUCCCCACGGAUUAGGCUAAGAGACCAAAAAUCUUUCAGUUAGCUAAGCCUUGAAAAAGACCAUUGCGACUACUUCUAGGAAUCCCGGCGCAAGCCAUCAUGCAUCUAGUUAUACUAGGGCAGCCCGGCUCAUCCACGUCUGGAUAUUCGGAGUGUAGAGUUUAUCCUCCCGUUCUUGGAGAGCUGACCCAUGUGGGUGUCGGGGAAUUGGUUUACCCUCUCGCAUUGGAGAGCAAUUAGUUUACCCUAUCGCACUGGUAAGCAUGGUUGGUCCCUCGGGGGGCGCAAUUCCUGCGGUAAGUCCCUAAGAAGGGUGCGGUCUUCUUUUGAAGUGCAGGAGUGAUCAGUUGUUGUAAGCAUGCAGCCAAGCCAAGUCAUGAUUACUUCUAAAUUCUUCAUUGAAAAAUGAGUUAAACGAACGAGAACUUAGAUGUAAGGUAAGAACUACAUAACAACUGGAUAAUCCUUGGCUGGUGAGGUAGUGCCCGUCGAGCUGCUUGAGUCUUCGGGCUUUGAUGUAGCAAGAGGUCACACAUGGUACUUCCUCAGAUUGUAGGCGUUCAACUGUUUUUCGAUCUUUUUGUCGUUUUAUGGUGACGAGGGUGUAAUUGUUCUUGCCACCUACUCUGCUGAUCUUGUACGGACUUUCCCAAAUGGGAUCCAUAUUUUUGGAGCCUUUUCUGCUAGCAGUGAUGAAGGUUUUUCUUAUGACCAGAUCUCCAGGCUGGAACUGCCAGAUCUUGGCCCUUUUGUUGUAGCUGGAGAGGAGAUGAUACUGGUAGGCUGCGAUACGAGUAAUAGUCUGUUCGCACCUCUCUUCUGCCAGAUCUAAGCUUAUGGCCAUCUCCUUUCGGUUGCUUGUCUUUUGGUUGUGCGAUAUGCCCAUAGACAUCCUUGGAGUUCAUUUGGCCAUUUUCUUUUCUUAUUGGUGAAGUAGUCGGUUGCCACGAUCACCAUGCCUUUGCCCCUAGUAGUCUGGCUGGUGAUUAGCUAGGACUCAGAAUGAAUUGAAAGCUUUUUCACCACCAAGUCUUUUGUCAUUCGAAGGCCUGCUAGUGGGGCUUCGUACUCUACUUCGUUGUUAGAUGCUUUGAAGCUUAGAGUGAUCGCCUGCUUGAGCAUUGAAACGUCUGGGGUGGCAAGAACCACGGCUGCUCAUGAGCCUUCGUAGUUGGAUGCGUCGUCGACAUGCAAACGCCAGAAAUCUCCACUGAGGGAGCAGGUGUGGCUAAAGUGUGCUUGGCUGCCUUCGGGGCAUCGUUGGGUAGACUUGUUACGUUCGUCAAAAAACUUGCAUCUGCCAGGGUCUACGCCUUUAUCGUCGUUGGUUUGGAUUCGGCAGAAUAAUGCGUCAUGAUGAUGACUGCUUGCGUUUGAAGGUAAAACUUAAACUUUUGGUUACAACAAUUAUCGCCAAAGUUAGUUUUUGAAUUUUUAAUAGCAUCGAGGAGAACUUUUGAACUGUAGAAUACAGGUAGUCUGGCCCCCAACUCUUCUCGCAUGAUGGUAGAGCUUAUUGCUACUUUAGAUACCGUCAAACAUGCGAAUAAGUCCUCCGCUGCUUCUAGGGAGGUGAUGUUGGGUACUUCUUCAAGUCCUUGAAUGUGCAUUGGUGAGCCUCAUCCCGAAGUGCAUGCUUAUUUGCCAAAGCAAAAGAGUCUACCAGAGUUAGAUCUUCUUUCAUGAUCAAUUUUCCGAAUGGAGGGUGGUCUGCUGGAAGUCCUUUUUAGAAGGCUGCUCUAGCUAUCGAGUCGUUGCAUCCGACUAUUUUUACCUUCUCUACUUUGAACUUCCUCACAUAGUCGUGAAGCGACUCCUUUGGGUUCUUCUUGACGUCGAACAAAUGGUCAGACUUCUUUUUGAUCGAGCGAUAGGAUGAAUAUUCUUUGGUGAAAACCAAAGAAAGUUCGUAGAAAUUUUGGAUGGAUUGUGGCGGUAGGGUGUAGAACCAAUCUUGCGCCUCGUCUUGUAGAGUGGUGGCGAAUAUCUUGCACAUGAGAUCAUCGUUGUUUCAAUAAAGGAUCAUUGAGCUUUGGUAGCGCUUUAGGUGUCUCUCCGGAUCUUCAUCCCCUUUGAAAGAUGUGAAAUGUGGCAUGCUGAACUCGCGUGGAGGCUCUGCCUACUCGAUCUAGUCCGUGAAGGGUGACCUGCCUAUGUUGGUCAUGUUCCGUCGUAGUGCCUCGUCGGUGACCUCGUUGCGUUGGAAAUCAUGCAAUCGCUUGGUCAGAAGUCUCUCUACUUCUUCCUUAAUUUGCCUUUAUUGGGGUAGCGGAGCUCUCGGCUGCCCCUAACCAUGACUUGCUGGUCUAGGCUGCUUUUUCAUGUGUUUGGCUCGUCUAUGUCGCGGAUGUAAUGCAUGUGGUGCGUUCCUAGCAGGCGAACGAGUUCUUCGCAGGCUGCUGGUUGAACUUGAGUUGGAUUAAGUGACUGCCUACUCCGAUGUGAGGUGGAUGAUGCUCCUUGCGGGCUUAGCCACAAAUGAAAACUUCGCCUAGAAGGCUGCUCAUGUUGACUAUCGAAGUGCGACCCUAACCGUGAAUGUAUGCUCGUCUGUGGGCCUAGUCGAGAGUGCACGCUCGUCCACGCUCUAAGACAGGAGUAUACGCUAUCACGGGGGCCCAAUCGGUAGUGUAUACUGCCUAAACGCUCCAUUUGUGGCUGGUUGAGUGGCUGCUUACCAGGACGCUGCUGGAGAAGUUCUUUUUCUGGCCUUGUCCUACUUCGGAACACCUCGUCUGGGGCACGUUGCAUCUCGGUGCGUUGCAAGAGUCGGUUCACCAAGGUCGUCUACUGUGCGAGGACGCUUGUCAACUCUAUGACUUGUAGUGACAAGUGUUGUUCUCCAUUUGGGUUGGAAGAGCUUGGAAGGAAUGUGCCUCCUUGGGCAAUGGAAGAGUGGUAGACUCCGGGCACGAGAUUUGAGUUGGGAAAUGUCAAAUUCGUGAAAAAAUAUGGUGAGAAUGCCCCCGGCUCGAUGGUAGGUCUGGAUGGUUGAGAUAGUCUUGGGCCAACUUGGGCUGCUUGGAAAACCACUAGAGCAGGAUGGGCCGUGAGAGUGGGCUGCUCGACGGAAGCAGGCUGGACCGCGGGAGUGCGCUGCUCGUCGGGAGCAGGCUGGGUCACGAGAGCAGGCUGGGCCACGGGAAUGGGCUGCUCGACGGAAGUAGGCUGGGCCACGGGAGUGGGCUGCUCGACGGAAACAGGCUGGACUACAAGAGUGGGCUGCUCGUCGGGAGCAGGUUAGGUCACGAGAGCAAGCUGCUUAGUAGGAUCAGGCUGGGCCACGGGAGUGGGCUGCUCGACGGAAGCAGGCUGGGCCACGGGAGUAGGCUGCUCGACGGAAACAGGCUGGACCACGGGAGUGAGCUGCUCGUCGGGAGUAGGUUGGGUCACGAGAGCAGGCUGCUUGGUAGGAGCAGGCUGGGCCCCGGGAGUGGGCUGCUUGACGGAAGCAGGCUGGGCCACGGGAGUGGGCUACUCAACGGAGGCAGGCUGGACCACAGGAGUGGGCUGCUCGUCGGGAGCAGGUUGGGUCACGAGAGCAGGCUGCUUGGCAGGAGCAGGCUGGGCCUCGGGAGUGGGCAGCUCGAUGGAAGCAGGCUGGACUACGGGAGUGGGCUGCUCGUCGGGAGCAGGCUGGGUCACGAGAGCAGGCUGCUUGGCAGGAGCAGGCUGGGCCACGAGAGCAGGUUGCUUGGCGGGAGCAGGCUGGGUCACGAGAGCAGGCUGCUUGGCAGGAGCAGGCUGGGCCGCGAGAGCAGGUUGCUUGGCGGGAGCAGGCUGGGCCGCGAGAGCAGGUUGCUUGGCAGGAACAGGUUGCUUUGUAUGUGAUGCAUGCGAAUGCGAGGCUUGGGCCUGGGCCCAUGCAAACUUGGAUGGCACAACUUGGGCCGUGGCCUUGAUGUCGUAAGCCUUGGAUGACACUGCUCGAGCCGUGGUGAAGGCACCAUGGACCUCGCCACGGGUGGCUACCGAGGUAGCCACCGUGGUGGUUCCCAUGGUGGAAACUCGUGGUGAUGGUGCUGCUCCACUUAUUGUCGCAUUUAGCCUCACUGAUCUCCGCAAUCCCAUUUCUUGAACAUUAGAAUUUUCACUUGUGGAAUUUUCUAAAUUUCUUGCCAUUAUAUUUUGCUUAUACGUUUUAUCAAAGAACCUUUGCAAGUAAAAAAUUCUAAUAAUAAGAAUGUAUGAAAAAUAUUCAAAUGGACUAGAAAAUAAAGAAAAAACCUUUUUGUGCGAGAGUCUUCUACGAGUAUGGAUUUCAACUCUCAAUGAAAGCACCAAUUUGUGGAUGCAAAUUUCCGCCUUCUUCUUCUUGGACAAAAUUGCACCUACAAAAUAAUUAACACCUUAGGUCAAGGCCAAGAGCCUCACGCGCCCACAAUGAAUGGGGGGGGCUUUGGCCGAAGAACCUCCGAUGCCAAAUUUAGAAUUUAGAGAGAGAGUGUUUAGAGAAUUUUGGGAUUUUGGGAUUUUUUGGCAAAGUGUUGGAAUUGGCUUUUUUGGUGAGAAUGAGAGUAUAUUUAUAGGGAUAGGAGGUGGCUUGGGUUUUUUUUGGUUUAAUUUAGGUUUAAUUAGAAGUUACAAAAUUGAUUAUUUGUAUAAAUGGGGUAAUAAAAUGGAGAAAAUAGUGGAAAAGGUGGAGAAUAAGAUGGUUUACUUUUCUUGAUGGGAUUGGCCGGCCACUUUAGUAAUUUUAGGUUUGGAUGGGUGUUUCAAUUGAUAAUUAAGGGUUGGAUUAGGUAAUUAAUCCCUUAAUUAGUCAAUUAUUAUGAUUUUAGGAAAUAUGAAAGGAAUAAGUAUAUUAUUUCGCUAAUUGAUUAGCUAAAUAAUGAAAUGGGAAAUAUAUGAAUAAAUUAGGUUUUAAGUUGAUACCUAUUUUGGGCACUUUUGACUUGGUUGAGGGAUAAUUGCAUGCUGCUUGCGCGUAGGAAUCCCGAUAUGCCUCAAGGGUAGUUUUGUCUUAUUUUGUUAAAAAUCCACGUGUCGCCUUGUGAUUAUUUUUGGCUCCACAACUAUGCUACAAACAUGAAGAGGGAUCUCAACCAGCUGUAGGAAUCUGAUGGUCAGAUUUUAUUUGAUCAUCAGAGGUUUGUGGGUUUCUUCCAAUGGCAUUUAUUACUUUCGUCUUUUGGGGCUGUACCGCGUAAUGAAGCUCCAAAUGAUCAACCUUCGGUGCCUCCUCCUUCUGGGGUUCUGCCUAGUACUGAGGCUCUGAAUAAUCACCCUCUGGUGCCUCCUCUUUCUGGGGCUCUGCCGACUGCUGAGACUUCUCCUGAGCAACCUUUGUGAAGGCUCCCUCUUGUUUGUUUAUUUUGAUUCAUGUACAUGUACAUAUUUGUAACUUAUCGGAGAUAUCAAUAAACAAGCUUUGCUUCAUUUCAACGUAUUGUGUUAAAUACACCAAGGCCUUCUUCACUAAGUUCUUUGAAUUUUUCCUUUUGUUGAAGCUUGUAAGCUUUGUGAGUGAAGCAUGUAGGUUGAGGUAGUGCUCCCUUAAUUUCCCGAGUGAGGAAAACUUCUUGUUUGGAGACUUGAAAAAUCCAAGUCACUGAGUAGUCGUGAGACUUUUGAGUAUAAAAGUGCAGUAGCAUAUGGUAGGAGUCCCCCAAGUCUCCGGUCGAGGGAGUUGACGAAUGAGG
rnacentral:lncRNA from 1 species